rnacentral:rRNA from 1 species
AACGUAGGAGACAAACGUUAUCCGGAGUUACUGGGCGUAAAGGGUGCGUAGGCGGGUCUUUAAGUCAGGGGUGAAAUCCUGGAGCUCAACUCCAGAACUGCCUUUGAUACUGAAGAUCUUGAGUCCGGGAGAGGUGAGUGGAACUGCGAGUGUAGAGGUGAAAUUCGUAGAUAUUCGCAAGAACACCAGUGGCGAAGGCGGCUCACUGGCCCGGUACUGACGCUGAGGCACGAAAGCGUGGGGAGCAAACAGG